GGACCAUGGGCUAUCAUUUUCUUUUUCUUCUCUCUCUCUUUUUUUAAGUGGAUACCGAGGUACCCCCGAAUUCUACUGUCACACACUUGUCCAUUUUUUUUCUGCGAGGUUAUCGAGCACUUGCUCCUUUUUAUUUCCUUGAAAUAUCCUUAUUUUUGCAUAGCCCAUGCCUCUAAUACAAUAAUACUUCGGAAGAGUGAAUCUUUCUGAAAUAAUGUCUUGAUCUUAGGAGCAUGAUAAAUCUCUUAACAAGGGUCU
rnacentral:lncRNA from 1 species